AGAGUUUGAUCAUGGCUCAGAAUGUACGCUGGCGGCACGCCUAACACAUGCAAGUCGAGCGAGGUACUUGUACCUAGCGGCAGACGGGUGCGUAACAUGUGGGAAUCUGCCUUUUGGUUCGGAACAACACGGGGAAACUUGUGCUAAUACCGGAUAAGUCCUAACGGAGAAAGAUUUAUCGCCGAAAGAUGAGCCCGCACUAGAUUAGCUUGUUGGUAAGGUAAAAGCUUACCAAGGCUACGAUCUAUAGCUGAUUUGAGAGGAUGAUCAGCCACACUGGGACUGAGACACGGCCCAGACUCCUACGGGAGGCAGCAGUGGGGAAUCUUGCACAAUGGAGGAAACUCUGAUGCAGCGAUGCCGCGUGAGUGAAGAAGGCCCUUGGGUUGUAAAGCUCUUUCGUCGGGGAAGAAAAUGACUGUACCCGAAUAAGAAGGUCCGGCUAACUUCGUGCCAGCAGCCGCGGUAAUACGAAGGGACCUAGCGUAAUUCGGAAUUACUGGGCGUAAAGCGCGCGUAGGCGGUUAAGUAAGUUAAUUGUGAAAGCCCAAAGCUCAACUUUGGAAUUGCAAUUAAAACUACUUAGCUAGAGUUUAUCAGAGGAAAGCGGAAUACAUAGUGUAGAGGUGAAAUUCGUAGAUAUUAUGUAGAACACCAGUUGCGAAGGCGGCUUUCUGGGAUAACACUGACGCUGAGGUGCGAAAGUAUGGGUAGCGAAGAGGAUUAGAUACCCUCGUAGUCCAUACCGUAAACGAUGAUUGUUAGAUGUUGGGAAUUUAUUUUCAGUAUCACAGCUAACGCGUUAAACAAUCCGCCUGGGGAGUACGACCGCAAGGUUAAAACUCAAAUGAAUUGACGGGGACCCG
rnacentral:rRNA from 1 species